UGUAGUCUGCAACCCGACUACAUGAAGCUGGAAUCGCUAGUAAUCGCGAAUCAGAAUGUCGCGGUGAAUACGUUCCCGGGUCUUGUACACACCGCCCGUCACACCAUGGGAGUCGGAAAUGCCCGAAGUCAGUGACCUAACCGAAAGGGAGGAGCUGCCGAAGGUGGAGCCGGUAACUGGGUGAAGUCGUAACAAGGUACC
rnacentral:rRNA from 1 species